GCCUGCUUGCACAUCUUCAACCUCCUCAUCCUCACGGGGGUCCUCAUUCUCCUCUGGCAGCUCAUCUCCUAUUCAUGAAAUGUAGGC